rnacentral:rRNA from 1 species
AUGAACGCUGGCGGCGUGCCUAAUACAUGCAAGUCGAGCGAACAGACGAGGAGCUUGCUCCUCUGACGUUAGCGGCGGACGGGUGAGUAACACGUGGAUAACCUACCUAUAAGACUGGGAUAACUUCGGGAAACCGGAGCUAGUACCGGAUAAUAUGUUGAAUCGCAUGGUUCAACAGUGAAAGACGGUCUUGCUGUCACUUAUAGAUGGAUCCGCGCCGCAUUAGCUAGUUGGUAAGGUAACGGCUUACCAAGGCAACGAUGCGUAGCCGACCUGAGAGGGUGAUCGGCCACACUGGAACUGAGACACGGUCCAGACUCCUACGGGAGGCAGCAGUAGGGAAUCUUCCGCAAUGGGCGAAAGCCUGACGGAGCAACGCCGCGUGAGUGAAGAAGGUCUUCGGAUCGUAAAACUCUGUUAUUAGGGAAGAACAAAUGUGUAAGUAACUAUGCACGUCUUGACGGUACCUAAUCAGAAAGCCACGGCUAACUACGUG